rnacentral:rRNA from 1 species
CCUACGGGCGGCAGCAGUGGGGAAUAUUGGACAAUGGGCGAAAGCCUGAUCCAGCCAUGCCGCGUGUGUGAAGAAGGCCUUCGGGUUGUAAAGCACUUUCAGUGGGGAAGAAAGCCUUGGGGCUAAUACCCUCGAGGAAGGACAUCACCCACAGAAGAAGCACCGGCUAACUCCGUGCCAGCAGCCGCGGUAAUACGGAGGGUGCGAGCGUUAAUCGGAAUUACUGGGCGUAAAGCGCGCGUAGGCGGUCUGAUAAGCCGGUUGUGAAAGCCCCGGGCUCAACCUGGGAACGGCAUCCGGAACUGUCAGGCUAGAGUGCAGGAGAGGAAGGUAGAAUUCCCGGUGUAGCGGUGAAAUGCGUAGAGAUCGGGAGGAAUACCAGUGGCGAAGGCGGCCUUCUGGACUGGCACUGACGCUGAGGUGCGAAAGCGUGGGUAGCAAACAGGAUUAGAUACCCCAGUAGUC